GACGAACGCUGGCGGCGUGCUUAACACAUGCAAGUCGAACGGAAAGGCCCUGCUUUUGUUGGGUGCUCGAUUGGCGAACGGGUGAGUGACACGUGAGUAUACUGCCCUUGUCUUUGGGAUAACUUCAGGAAACUGCGGCUAAUACCGGAUAGAAUCUCCUGCUGCAUGUUGGGGGUUGGAGAGUUUCGGCGGUUGGGGAUCGACUCGCGGCUUAUCAGCUUGUUGGUGGGGUAGUGGCUGACCAAGGGUUUGACGGGUAGCCGGCCUGAGAGGGUGAACGGGGACAUGGGGACUGAGAUACGGACCAGACGCGUACGGGAGGCAGCAGUGGGGAAUAUUGCACAAUGGGCGGAAGCCUGAUGCAGCAACGUCGCGUGCGGGAUGACGGCCUUCGGGUUGAAAACCGAUUUCGCCUGUGACGAGGCGGGAGUGACGGUAAUGGGUAAAGAAGCACCGGCUAACUACGUG
rnacentral:rRNA from 1 species